GUGUAGUUGAACCUUGGGUCUGGCUGGCCGGUCCGCCUCACCGCGAGUACUGGUCCGGCUGGACCUUUCCUUCUGGGGAACCUCAUGGCCUUCACUGGCUGUGGGGGGAACCAGGACUUUUACUGUGAAAAAAUUAGAGUGUUCAAAGCAGGCCUUUGCUCGAAUACAUUAGCAUGGAAUAAUAGAAUAGGACGUGUGGUUCUAUUUUGUUGGUUUCUAGGACCGCCGUAAUGAUUAAUAGGGAUAGUCGGGGGCGUCAGUAUUCAGCUGUCAGAGGUGAAAUUCUUGGAUUUGCUGAAGACUAACUACUGCGAAAGCAUUCGCCAAGGAUGUUUUCAUUAAUCAGGGAACGAAAGUUAGGGGAUCGAAGACGAUCAGAUACCGUCGUAGUCUUAACCAUAAACUAUGCCGACUAGGGAUCGGACGGGAUUCUAUAAUGACCCGUUCGGCACCUUACGAGAAAUCAAAGUUUUUGGGUUCUGGGGGGAGUAUGGUCGCAAGGCUGAAACUUAAAGAAAUUGACGGAAGGGCACCACAAGGCGUGGAGCCUGCGGCUUAAUUGACU
rnacentral:rRNA from 1 species